rnacentral:RNase_P_RNA from 1 species
CGAGUAAGACAGACAGUCGCGCGGCCAGGCCGAAAGGCCGGUCGUGAGGAAAGUCCGGGCUCCACAGGGCAAGGAUAACGGGUAACGCCCGCCGAAGGCGACUUCAGGAAAAGUGCAACAGAGAUAUACCGCCGACAGAGUUACUCUGUAUCGGUCAGGGAACCAGCGACGGCUGAACGCGAUGCCCCGCGGAGCGGGGCGAGGGAAACUUCCCCGAACAGCGCAAUCGCUUCCGCGCGGAACGGCGCAGGGGUGUUGUGUGAAGAGGGACGAAGGGUCCCUCUUCCUAAUUGCAAUCAGCCCGCCGCAGCGGCCGCUCCCGCGGGGAGCGGCAAGCCACCCUUACCGACAGAGAGUAGCUCUGUCGGUAAGGGUGGAAAGGCGAGGUAAGAGCUCACCCAUCGGCU